rnacentral:misc_RNA from 1 species
GGGGGGUUGAAUAUUCAAGCCUUUCAAUCACCAUGGCAGUGCAUGUUCAAGAAAGUAGCAACAUGUUAUCAACUAAACUAGAAAUUAAGCAGCAGCCUCGUUUUGAGAUCCAUUUCCGGCUUCAGAAUAUCCCACUUAGAAGAUUUGCAGCAGUGGAAAUUGCAGCUCCAGUGAUCGCACAUUGCACUACUUGCUUAUGGGAAACAUCAUCUAUUGUAAGUGCCAAUGCCAUACCUGUUAUGGCUC